UCAAAUUUGGAAAUCGUAUGAGGAUUGUAUGGUCAUUUUACUAAGAAUUAGGUUGCCAGAUUUUUCAGAGUAAUUACUAAAUUGCUUUUGCCGGCGUAUUUAAAAAUCUGCAUUAUUUGCAAAUAUUGAAACCAACAUAUCUCAUUCAUUAUAAGGUCAAAUUGAGUGAUUCAAAAGCUAACUUGACUAGAAUUUCAUAAGGAAUCCAUUGGAGGUAUAAAAUACGAGUUUUGGGAUCGUUUGGCACGAGAAACGAGGCAAUAUAACUGGCAGAAAAAUAUAUAAAACUAGAGUUUGUUCAUUCGGUCAUAUUUUGAGUUGGGGAGCUCGGAUUUGGGCGAUUUUGGAGGCGAUUUUCACCAUAUGGAUUGGGGUAAGUAUUCUUUACUCGAUUUUAAUUAUAUUUCAUGAAUCCAUCUUUGUUUUUGGGGUUUGAUUGAUGAUUUCAAAGUGAAAUUGAGGGAGUUAGGGUUUGAGUUUUGGAGAGUUUCAAGUGAGGAUUUGAGGGACUAAACGGAGUCCGAUUUUGAUAAAUUUUAUAUGGUUAGACUCAGGAGAGGACGAGGGUUUUAAUUCUGCCAUUUUUUUUACUGAAUUCGAGACGUGUGCCCAGGGGCCGAGUUUUGGCCGAUUUCAGAUCUUUGGCAUAUUUUGUAGUUUUUAUUGUGGAAUUCGAUUCUUUAGCACAUGGUGAUGGUAUUGAUCUGAUUAUGGUUAGAUUCAGAGCUUUUGAAGACCGAGUCUAGAGACGUGGGCAUCCCGGAGUAGGAUUUUAUGUGGUUGAGGUAAGUAACAGUUUUAACUCUGGCUUUGAGGGUAUAAACCCAGAGAAUUUGAUAUCAUGUGAUUGUUUGGAGGUGAUACCCAUGCUAGGUGACGGGCGCAUGGGUGUAUACCUCGAGUGAUUGAGACUUGGUCCGUCCCGUGAGGCCCCAUGGCCAUCAUCUGUGUUUACGUAGUUACUUGUUGUUGAACUUGUCUGCUUUCAUGUUAGAGAUCAUGCUUAGGCUUUAUUCAUACUCACAUUAUUUGUACUCAGUCAUAGAAAUUAUUUUACAUGUUUACCUCAGUCUCUAUUAUUUGCUAAUAUAUUGUGAUACUUGAUGUGAGUUGUGUUCUCUUAUUUGUUGAUGAUGGUGAGGCUAGUGAGGUACAUGACUGAGUGAGGCCGAGGGCCUGGUUGUGAGGAUAUUGAUACCAUAGCGCGUGAGUUGUCCGCGUAGCACAUGAGUUGACCGUGCGAAUCCAAGUAUUGAUACCAUAGCGUGUGAGUUGUCCGCGUAGCACGUGAGUUGACCGUGCGAAUCCAGGUAUUGAUAUUACGGCACGUGAGUUGUCUGUGCUUAGCGCUUGGGCUUUGGGAGCCCCUCCGGAGUCUGUACACACCCCCAGUGAGAGCAGAGUGUUGAGUGUUGGGUGCUGAGUGAUGGAGUGACAUUGCUGUGUAGUUGCAUUUACUUUUGUUGUUGUUGCAUUUAUCUGUUAAAUUUCAUUGUGGUAUUUAGUGAGUUAUGGAAUUUACCUGUUUAUUCAUGUUUAUUUUUUUAAAAUUGUGAAAAUAAAUAAUUGGACUGUUUUACUUAGCUCGUCACUACUACUCAGAUCCUUAGUUAUUUCUGUUACUACUAAGGUGGUUGUACUCAUACUACACCCUGCACUUUAUGUGCAGAUCCAGGUGAGUUAUUGCGCGGCGAUCGUUGAGUUCAGGCCGACUAUCUUUGGAGACUGCAAGAUAUCUGCUAGUGUCCGCAGGACCUUGUUACUCCUAUUGUCAUUUCUUCUUUUGGAUAGUUAGACAGUUUAUAUAUCUUAGUUUAUAGUUUUAGAUGCUCAUGACUUAGUGACACCCCGAUGUUUGGGACUCGUUUUCGUAUUUUAUAUUAAUUAUAUUUAGAGUUGG
rnacentral:lncRNA from 1 species